rnacentral:rRNA from 1 species
CCACCACCAAAGCAUUUGCUGUACCGCGUUGACGGAGCGAAGCGACGUCAAACCGAUAAAACAGCAGUGUAAAGUGAGCCGCAGGGCGCUUUGCGCGACAGCGCAAAGGCAGGCGGUUUCGCGUAGCGAAAGCGAAUGCUUUGGGGUGGGGUGACUGCGUACCUUUUGUAUAAUGGGUCAGCGACUUAUAUUCUGUAGCAAGGUUAACCGAAUAGGGGAGCCGGAGGGAAACCGAGUCUUAAUUGGGCGUUAAGUUGCAGGGUAUAGACCCGAAACCCGGUGAUCUAGCCAUGGGCAGGUUGAAGGUUGGGUAACACUAACUGGAGGACCGAACCGACUAAUGUUGAAAAAUUAGCGGAUGACCUGUGGCUGGGGGUGAAAGGCCAAUCAAACCGGGAGAUAGCUGGUUCUCCCCGAAAGCUAUUUAGGUAGCGCCUCGUGAAUUCAUCUCCGGGGGUAGAGCACUGUUUCGGCUAGGGGGCCAUCCCGGCUUACCAACCCGAUGCAAACUGCGAAUACCGGAGAAUGUUAUCACGGGAGACACACGGCGGGUGCUAACGUCCGUCGUGAAGAGGGAAACAACCCAGACCGCCAGCUAAGGUCCCAAAGUCAUGGUUAAGUGGGAAACGAUGUGGGAAGGCCCAGACAGCCAGGAUGUUGGCUUAGAAGCAGCCAUCAUUUAAAGAAAGCGUAAUAGCUCACUGGUCGAGUCGGCCUGCGCGGAAGAUGUAACGGGGCUAAACCAUGCACCGAAGCUGCGGCAGCGACGCUUAUGCGUUGUUGGGUAGGGGAGCGUUCUGUAAGCCUGUGAAGGUGUGUCGUGAGGCAUGCUGGAGGUAUCAGAAGUGCGAAUGCUGACAUAAGUAACGAUAAAGCGGGUGAAAAGCCCGCUCGCCGGAAGACCAAGGGUUCCUGUCCAACGUUAAUCGGGGCAGGGUGAGUCGACCCCUAAGGCGAGGCCGAAAGGCGUAGUCGAUGGGAAACGGGUUAAUAUUCCCGUACUUGGUGUUACUGCGAAGGGGGGACGGAGAAGGCUAUGUUGGCCGGGCGACGGUUGUCCCGGUUUAAGCGUGUAGGUGUGUGUUCCAGGUAAAUCCGGUUCACUUUAACACUGAGGCGUGAUGACGAGGCACUACGGUGCUGAAGUAACAAAUGCCCUGCUUCCAGGAAAAGCCUCUAAGCAUCAGGUAACAUCAAAUCGUACCCCAAACCGACACAGGUGGUCAGGUAGAGAAUACCAAGGCGCUUGAGAGAACUCGGGUGAAGGAACUAGGCAAAAUGGUGCCGUAACUUCGGGAGAAGGCACGCUGACACGUAGGUGAAGUGAUUUACUCACGGAGCUGAAGUCAGUCGAAGAUACCAGCUGGCUGCAACUGUUUAUUAAAAACACAGCACUGUGCAAACACGAAAGUGGACGUAUACGGUGUGACGCCUGCCCGGUGCCGGAAGGUUAAUUGAUGGGGUCAGCGCAAGCGAAGCUCCUGAUCGAAGCCCCGGUAAACGGCGGCCGUAACUAUAACGGUCCUAAGGUAGCGAAAUUCCUUGUCGGGUAAGUUCCGACCUGCACGAAUGGCGUAAUGAUGGCCAGGCUGUCUCCACCCGAGACUCAGUGAAAUUGAACUCGCUGUGAAGAUGCAGUGUACCCGCGGCAAGACGGAAAGACCCCGUGAACCUUUACUAUAGCUUGACACUGAACAUUGAGCCUUGAUGUGUAGGAUAGGUGGGAGGCUUUGAAGUGUGGACGCCAGUCUGCAUGGAGCCGACCUUGAAAUACCACCCUUUAAUGUUUGAUGUUCUAACGUGGACCCGUUA